CCUACGGGUGGCAGCAGUGGGGAAUAUUGGGCAAUGGAGGCAACUCUGACCCAGCAACGCCGCGUGAAUGAUGAAGGUCUUCGGAUUGUAAAGUUCUGUGAUGGGGGAUGAACACAAUGACGGUACCCCAAUAGCAAGCCACGGCUAACGACGGGCCAGCAGCCGCGGUAUUACGUAGGUGGCAAGCGUUAUCCGGAAUGACUGGGCGUAAAGGGUGCGUUGGUGGUUUGGUAAGGUGGCGGGGUAAUUCCGGGGCCCAACCUCGGCGCUGCCGCCCAAACUCUUAGACUAGAGUGCAGGAGGGGUAAGUGGAAUGCCUGGUGUAGCGGUGAAAUGCGUAGAUAUUAGGAGGAACAUCAGGGGCGAAGGCGACUUACUGGACUGUAACUGACACUGAGGCACGAAAGCGUGGGGAGCAAACAGGAUUAGAUACCCCAGUAGUC
rnacentral:rRNA from 1 species